rnacentral:rRNA from 1 species
AGCGCAGGUGGUUGUAUAAGUCUGAAGUAAAAAGGCAGUGGCUCAACCAUUGUGUGCUUUGGAAACUGUACAACUUGAGUGCAGAAGGGGAGAGUGGAAUUCCAUGUGUAGCGGUGAAAUGCGUAGAUAUAUGGAGGAACACCGGUGGCGAAAGCGGCUCUCUGGUCUGUAACUGACACUGAGGCUGAAAGCGUGGGGGAGACAAACA